GAUGAACGCUGGCGGCGUGCCUAAUACAUGCAAGUCGAGCGAACGGACGAGAAGCUUGCUUUUCUGAUGUUAGCGGCGGACGGGUGAGUAACAUGUGGAUAACCUACCUAUAAGACUGGGAUAACUUCGGGAAACCGGAGCUAAUACCGGAUAAUAUUUUGAACCGCAUGGUUCAAAAGUGAAAGACGGUCUUGCUGUCACUUAUAGAUGGAUCCGCGCUGCAUUAGCUAGUUGGUAAGGUAACGGCUUACCAAGGCAACGAUGCAUAGCCGACCUGAGAGGGUGAUCGGCCACACUGGAACUGAGACACGGUCCAGACUCCUACGGGAGGCAGCAGUAGGGAAUCUUCCGCAAUGGGCGAAAGCCUGACGGAGCAACGCCGCGUGAGUGAUGAAGGUCUUCGGAUCGUAAAACUCUGUUAUUAGGGAAGAACAUAUGUGUAAGUAACUAUGCACAUCUUGACGGUACCUAAUCAGAAAGCCACGGCUAACUACGUG
rnacentral:rRNA from 1 species